CGCUCGCGCGCGCGCGCGCGCGCGUGGCGUGGGCGAUGAGGCGCAAUGUGGCGCUUUGAUGGCGCACUUUGCACUUCGCACGCUCGCAUCGCCGCGAGCCGCUUGAGAGCCGCCUUUGUAUUUUUGACCGCGCGCGCGUGGUGAAGCACAAGGGUUGCAAGGACCAAGUGGUAGGUGAUGCGGCGCAUGACGUGGCAGUCAUGCGCAUGCGCGCGCGGGUACACGAGGCGCGCGGUUGGGAGCAUGGUGCAUGGGUCCUACUGUGCCGUGUGCGGCGCACCAGAGUGAGCCAAUACGGCGCGACUGUGUGGCGCGCACGUAUAGACUCACAGGUGACGUGGCGCACGCCGCACCGCCGCAUGGACGGACUUGAGCUGCACCGCCGCACGGCGCACGGCAGUGAGCCAAGAGGCCGCACGCCGCAUGGCAGUGAGCCAAGAGGCCGCACGCCGCACGGCAGUGAGCCAAGAGGCCGCACGCCGC
rnacentral:lncRNA from 1 species